rnacentral:rRNA from 1 species
GUCCUAGCCGUAAACGAUGGACACUAAGUAGAAGGACCUCCGAUGGCCUUUCUGCUGAAGCUAAUGUCUUAAGUGUCCCGCCUGGGGAGUACGGUCGCAAGAUUAAAACUCAAAGGAAUUGACGGGGGCUCGCACAAGCGGUGGAGCAUGUUGUUUAAUUCGACGCAACGCGAAGAACCUUACCUAGGCUUGACAUGCACGUGGUACGGAUCCGAAAGGUAAGGACCCUUGGGGACGUGCACAGGUGCUGCAUGGCUGUCGU